rnacentral:rRNA from 1 species
UAGGGAAUCUUCCACAAUGGACGCAAGUCUGAUGGAGCAACGCCGCGUGAGUGAAGAAGGUUUUCGGAUCGUAAAGCUCUGUUGUUGGUGAAGAAGGAUAGAGGCAGUAACUGGUCUUUAUUUGACGGUAAUCAACCAGAAAGUCACGGCUAACUACGUGCCAGCAGCCGCGGUAAUACGUAGGUGGCAAGCGUCGUCCGGAUUUAUUGGGCGUAAAGCGAGCGCAGGCGGAAUGAUAAGUCUGAUGUGAAAGCCCACGGCUCAACCGUAGAGCUGCAUCGGAAACUGUCAUUCUUGAGUGCAGAAGAGGAGAGUGGAAUUCCAUGUGUAGAGGUGGAAUGCGUAGAUAUAUGGAAGAACACCAGUGGCGAAGGCGGCUCUCUGGUCUGCAACUGACGCUGAGGCUCGAAAGCAUGGGUAGCGAACAGG